GCAUCGAUGAAGAACGUAGCGAAAUGCGAUAAGUAGUGUGAAUUGCAGAAUUCAGUGAAUCAUCGAAUCUUUGAACGCACAUUGCGCCC
rnacentral:rRNA from 1 species